UAGGGAAUCUUCCGCAAUGGACGAAAGUCUGACGGAGCAACGCCGCGUGAGUGAUGAAGGCUUUCGGGUCGUAAAACUCUGUUGUUAGGGAAGAACAAGUGCUAGUUGAAUAAGCUGGCACCUUGACGGUACCUAACCAGAAAGCCACGGCUAACUACGUGCCAGCAGCCGCGGUAAUA
rnacentral:rRNA from 1 species